UACGUAGGGUGCGAGCGUUGUCCGGAAUUAUUGGGCGUAAAGGGCUCGUAGGCGGUCUGUCGCGUCGGGAGUGAAAAACUCGGGGCUUAACUCCGAGCCUGCUUCUGAUACGGGCAGACUAGAGGUAUGCAGGGGAGAAUGGAAUUCCUGGUGUAGCGGUGAAAUGCGCAGAUAUCAGGAGGAACACCGGUGGCGAAGGCGGUUCUCUGGGCAUGACCUGACGCUGAGGAGCGAAAGUGUGGGGAGCGAACAGG
rnacentral:rRNA from 1 species